rnacentral:rRNA from 1 species
CGGGACACGUGGUAUCCUGUCUGAAUAUGGGGGGACCAUCCUCCAAGGCUAAAUACUCCUGACUGACCGAUAGUGAACCAGUACCGUGAGGGAAAGGCGAAAAGAACCCCGGCGAGGGGAGUGAAAAAGAACCUGAAACCGUGUACGUACAAGCAGUGGGAGCACGCUUAGGCGUGUGACUGCGUACCUUUUGUAUAAUGGGUCAGCGACUUAUAUUCUGUAGCAAGGUUAACCGAAUAGGGGAGCCGAAGGGAAACCGAGUCUUAACUGGGCGUUAAGUUGCAGGGUAUAGACCCGAAACCCGGUGAUCUAGCCAUGGGCAGGUUGAAGGUUGGGUAACACUAACUGGAGGACCGAACCGACUAAUGUUGAAAAAUUAGCGGAUGACUUGUGGCUGGGGGUGAAAGGCCAAUCAAACCGGGAGAUAGCUGGUUCUCCCCGAAAGCUAUUUAGGUAGCGCCUCGUGAAUUCAUCUCCGGGGGUAGAGCACUGUUUCGGCAAGGGGGUCAUCCCGACUUACCAACCCGAUGCAAACUGCGAAUACCGGAGAAUGUUAUCACGGGAGACACACGGCGGGUGCUAACGUCCGUCGUGAAGAGGGAAACAACCCAGACCGCCAGCUAAGGUCCCAAAGUCAUGGUUAAGUGGGAAACGAUGUGGGAAGGCCCAGACAGCCAGGAUGUUGGCUUAGAAGCAGCCAUCAUUUAAAGAAAGCGUAAUAGCUCACUGGUCGAGUCGGCCUGCGCGGAAGAUGUAACGGGGCUAAACCAUGCACCGAAGCUGCGGCAGCGACGCUGAUGCGUUGUUGGGUAGGGGAGCGUUCUGUAAGCCUGUGAAGGUGUGCUGUGAGGCAUGCUGGAGGUAUCAGAAGUGCGAAUGCUGACAUAAGUAACGAUAAAGCGGGUGAAAAGCCCGCUCGCCGGAAGACCAAGGGUUCCUGUCCAACGUUAAUCGGGGCAGGGUGAGUCGACCCCUAAGGCGAGGCCGAAAGGCGUAGUCGAUGGGAAACAGGUUAAUAUUCCUGUACUUGGUGUUACUGCGAAGGGGGGACGGAGAAGGCUAUGUUGGCCGGGCGACGGUUGUCCCGGUUUAAGCGUGUAGGCUGGUUUUCCAGGCAAAUCCGGAAAAUCAAGGCUGAGGCGUGAUGACGAGGCACUACGGUGCUGAAGCAACAAAUGCCCUGCUUCCAGGAAAAGCCUCUAAGCAUCAGGUAACAUCAAAUCGUACCCCAAACCGACACAGGUGGUCAGGUAGAGAAUACCAAGGCGCUUGAGAGAACUCGGGUGAAGGAACUAGGCAAAAUGGUGCCGUAACUUCGGGAGAAGGCACGCUGAUAUGUAGGUGAAGCGACUUGCUCGUGGAGCUGAAAUCAGUCGAAGAUACCAGCUGGCUGCAACUGUUUAUUAAAAACACAGCACUGUGCAAACACGAAAGUGGACGUAUACGGUGUGACGCCUGCCCGGUGCCGGAAGGUUAAUUGAUGGGGUCAGCGCAAGCGAAGCUCUUGAUCGAAGCCCCGGUAAACGGCGGCCGUAACUAUAACGGUCCUAAGGUAGCGAAAUUCCUUGUCGGGUAAGUUCCGACCUGCACGAAUGGCGUAAUGAUGGCCAGGCUGUCUCCACCCGAGACUCAGUGAAAUUGAACUCGCUGUGAAGAUGCAGUGUACCCGCGGCAAGACGGAAAGACCCCGUGAACCUUUACUAUAGCUUGACACUGAACAUUGAGCCUUGAUGUGUAGGAUAGGUGGGAGGCUUUGAAGUGUGGACGCCAGUCUGCAUGGAGCCGGCCUUGAAAUACCACCCUUUAAUGUUUGAUGUUCUAACGUUGACCCGUGAUCCGGGUUGCGGACAGUGUCUGGUGGGUAGUUUGACUGGGGCGGUCUCCUCCUAAAGAGUAACGGAGGAGCACGAAGGUUGGCUAAUCCUGGUCGGACAUCAGGAGGUUAGUGCAAUGGCAUAAGCCAGCUUGACUGCGAGCGUGACGGCGCGAGCAGGUGCGAAAGCAGGUCAUAGUGAUCCGGUGGUUCUGAAUGGAAGGGCCAUCGCUCAACGGAUAAAAGGUACUCCGGGGAUAACAGGCUGAUACCGCCCAAGAGUUCAUAUCGACGGCGGUGUUUGGCACCUCGAUGUCGGCUCAUCACAUCCUGGGGCUGAAGUAGGUCCCAAGGGUAUGGCUGUUCGCCAUUUAAAGUGGUACGCGAGCUGGGUUUAGAACGUCGUGAGACAGUUCGGUCCCUAUCUGCCGUGGGCGCUGGAGAACUGAGGGGGGCUGCUCCUAGUACGAGAGGACCGGAGUGGACGCAUCACUGGUGUUCGGGUUGUCA